CCCAUUGAUUGACGGUGCUUGCACCUGAUUGAUUUUCGUUGCCAACGAGUGGCGGACGGGUGAGUAACACGUAGGUAACCUGCCCAGAAGCGGGGGACAACAUUUGGAAACAGAUGCUAAUACCGCAUAACAACGUUGUUCGCAUGAACAACGCUUAAAAGAUGGCUUCUCGCUAUCACUUCUGGAUGGACCUGCGGUGCAUUAGCUUGUUGGUGGGGUAACGGCCUACCAAGGCGAUGAUGCAUAGCCGAGUUGAGAGACUGAUCGGCCACAAUGGGACUGAGACACGGCCCAUACUCCUACGGGAGGCAGCAGUAGGGAAUCUUCCACAAUGGGCGCAAGCCUGAUGGAGCAACACCGCGUGAGUGAAGAAGGGUUUCGGCUCGUAAAGCUCUGUUGUUAAAGAAGAACACGUAUGAGAGUAACUGUUCAUACGUUGACGGUAUUUAACCAGAAAGUCACGGCUAACUACGUGCCAGCAGCCGCGGUAAUACGUAGGUGGCAAGCGUUAUCCGGAUUUAUUGGGCGUAAAGAGAGUGCAGGCGGUUUUCUAAGUCUGAUGUGAAAGCCUUCGGCUUAACCGGAGAAGUGCAUCGGAAACUGGAUAACUUGAGUGCAGAAGAGGGUAGUGGAACUCCAUGUGUAGCGGUGGAAUGCGUAGAUAUAUGGAAGAACACCAGUGGCGAAGGCGGCUACCUGGUCUGCAACUGACGCUGAGACUCGAAAGCAUGGGUAGCGAACAGGAUUAGAUACCCUGGUAGUCCAUGCCGUAAACGAUGAGU
rnacentral:rRNA from 1 species